rnacentral:sRNA from 1 species
GAUUACAGUGUCAAAAGUCUUUCCCCAUUUCAUGCUUGCAUGAAGGUGGGGAUAGGGCUUUAUGACACGCCCUACAAUGAGGAUGAAGUGGUGCUUUUGCACCAUGAGAAUCCGAAUUGUAGGAGGAUUGUGGGAGUGCGGAGCACGAAACAAUCCGUGUA